rnacentral:rRNA from 1 species
CCAGUAGUCAUAUGCUUGUCUUAAAGAUUAAGCCAUGCAUGUCUAAGUAUAAGCGAUUAUACGGCGAGACUGCGGAUGGCUCAUUAAAUCAGUUAUAAUUUCGUAGAUCUAUCCUUAGUUGGAUAACUGUAGUAAUUCUAGAGCUAAUACAUGCCAAACGCGGCUUCGGCCGCGGCAUUUGCGGGCACCCAAACCGACCGGGAAACCGAUUGCGUUGAGUCACCGCAACUUUUAGUUUCUACUAGUGCGGAUCGCAUGGCAUUUAUGCCGGCGACAGAUUUUUCAAAUUUCUGCCCUAUCAGCUUUCGACGAAGAUGUAGUGAAUCUUCAUGGCGACAACGGGUAACGGAGAACUAGGGUUCGGUUCCGGAGAGGGAGCCUGAGAGAUGGCUACCACUUCCAAGGAAGGCAGCAGGCGCGCAAAUUACCCAAUCUCAGUACGAGGAGGUAGUGACGAUAAAUAACGAUAUGGAUCCUUCGGGGUCCAUAAUCGGAAUGAGCACAAAGUAAAUAUCUUAACGAGGAACAAUUGGAGGACAAGUCUGGUGCCAGCACCCGCGGUAAUUCCAGCUCCAAGAGCGUAUAUUAAAGUUGUUGCAGUUAAAAAGCUCGUAGUCUGAACUUGAGGACUCUGGUAGUUUAGGGGCUUAUCGGAAGAUAGGCUGACCGGCUACUUGGCCUCAAACGUCUAGUUGACGCCUCUGCUCUUAAUUGAGUGGGGGUCUAGGCUGGACCUUUUACCUUGAAGAAAUUGGAGUGUUCAAAGCAGAUUUUCAUUCGUCUUGCACAUAUUAGCAUGGGACAAUGGAAGAAGACUGUGCUGGAGUCUGGUAGUAGCUCUGGCAUGGUAAUGAUCGAUAGGGGCGAAGGGGGCGGUUGGUAUUCAGCGGCUAGAGGUGAAAUUCUUAGAUUCGCUGCAGACUCCCGGAAGCAAAAGCGUUCCGCUACCGUACUCCCGUUGAUCAAGAACGAAAGUUAGGGGAUCGAAGACGAUCAGAUACCGUCGUAGUCUUAACUAUAAACGAUGCGGACCAGAGGUUAAGCCUCAUCCUUUGUACGAUAUUCCUAGCAUCUUUGCGAGAAAUCAUUGAGUUUUUGCGUUCUGGGGGGAGUAUGGUCGCAAGGCUGAAACUUAAAGGAAUUGACGGAAGAUCACCACCAGGAGUGGAAUCUGCGGCUUAAUUUGACGCAACACGGGGAAACUCACUCGGUCAGGACAUAGUAAGGAUUGACAGAUUGAUAGCUCUUUCUUAAUUUCUAUGGGUGGUGGUGCAUGGUCGUUCUUAGUUGGUGGAGUGAUUUGUCUGGUUAAUUCCG